rnacentral:rRNA from 1 species
UGAGUACGAGCUGCUACGGCAGCGAAGUGGGUGACGUCAAGCUUCCAAGAAAAGCCCUAUACCCGUUAAGGCAUGAUGGCCUGUACCCGAAACCGACACAGGUGGGGUGGUAGAGAAUACCGAGGGGCGCGAGAUAACUCUCUCUAAGGAACUCGGCAAAAUGGCCCCGUAACUUCGGGAGAAGGGGUGCCACCGCAAGGUGGUCGCAGUGAAGAGGCCCAGGCGACUGUUUACCAAAAACACAGGUCUCCGCUAAGUCGCAAGACGAUGUAUGGGGGCUGACGCCUGCCCAGUGCCGGAAGGUUAAGGAAGCUGGUCAGCGCAAGCGAAGCUAGCGACUGAAGCCCCGGUGAACGGCGGCCGUAACGAUAACGGUCCUAAGGUAGCGAAAUUCCUUGUCGGGUAAGUUCCGACCCGCACGAAAGGCGUAACGAUCUGGGCGCUGUCUCGGAGUGAGGCUCGGCGAAAUAGAAUUGUCUGUGAAGAUGCGGACUACGUGCACCCGGACAGAAAGACCCUAUGAAGCUUUACUGUAGCUUGGUAUUGUGCUCGGGCUCGGAAUGCGCAGGAUAGGUGGGAGGCUAUGAACCAUUGCUUGCGGGUGAUGGUGAGCCACUGGUGAGAUACCACUCUUUCCGAGCUAGAGUUCUAACAGCCACCCGUUAUCCGGGGGCUGGACAGUAUCAGGUGGGCAGUUUGACUGGGGCGGUCGCCUCCUAAAAGAUAACGGAGGCGCGCAAAGGUUUGCUCAGGCUGGUUGGAAAUCAGCCGACGAGUGUAAAAGCAGAAGCAAGCUUGACUGUGAGACCUACAAGUCGAACAGGGAGGAAACUCGGCUUUAGUGAUCCGACGGUUCUGCGUGGAAGGGCCGUCGCUCAACGGAUAAAAGUUACUCUAGGAUAACAGGCUGAUCUCCCCCAAGAGUUCACAUCGACGGGGAGGUUUGGCACCUCGAUGUCGGCUCAUCGCAACCUGGGGCUGAAGUCGGUCCCAAGGGUUGGGCUGUUCGCCCAUUAAAGCGGUACGCGAGCUGGGUUCAGAACGUCGUGAGACAGUUCGGUCCAUAUCCGGUGCAUGCGCAGGAAUAUUGAGAGGAUUUCUCCCUAGUACGAGAGGACCGGGAGGAACGCACCUCUGGUGUACCAGUUAUCGUGCCAACGGUAAACGCUGGGUAGCCAUGUGCGGAGAGGAUAACCGCUGAAAGCAUCUAAGUGGGAAGCCCACCUCAAGAUGAGUAUUCCCAUGGGUUAACCCAGUAAGGUCACGGGAAGAACACCCGUUGAUAGGCUCUACGUGGAAGCGCAGUAAUGUGUGAAGCGGAGGAGUACUAAUAGACCGAGGGCUUG